rnacentral:rRNA from 1 species
GACGAACGCUGGCGGCGUGCUUAACACAUGCAAGUCGAACGGUAAGCCCCGGCUUUGGGGGGGUGCUCGAGUGGCGAACGGGUGAGUAACACGUGAGUAACCUGCCCUUGUCGUUGAGAUAACUUCAGGAAACUGGGGCUAAUACCGGAUCGGAUCUCCUGCUGCAUGGUGGGGGUUGGAAAGUUUCGGCGGUUGGGGAUGGACUCGCGGCUUAUCAGCUUGUUGGUGGGGUAGUGGCUUACCAAGGCGUCGACGGGUAGCCGGCCUGAGAGGGUGACCGGCCACACUGGGACUGAGACACGGCCCAGACUCCUACGGGAGGCAGCAGUGGGGAAUAUUGCACAAUGGGCGGAAGCCUGACGCAGCAACGCCGCGUGCGGGAUGACGGCCUUCGGGUUGUAAACCUCUUUCGCCUGGGACGAAGCGAGAGUGACGGUACCGGGAGAAGAAGCACCGGCUAACUACGUG